rnacentral:rRNA from 1 species
AUUGAACGCUGGCGGAAUGCUUUACACAUGCAAGUCGAACGGCAACACGGACUUCGGUCUGGUGGCGAGUGGCGAACGGGUGAGUAAUACAUCGGAACGUGCCCAGUCGUGGGGGAUAACGUAGCGAAAGCUACGCUAAUACCGCAUACGAUCUAAGGAUGAAAGCGGGGGAUCGCAAGACCUCGCGCGAUUGGAGCGGUCGAUGGGAGAUUAGGUAGUUGGUAGGGUAAAGGCCUACCAAGCCGACGAUCUGUAGCUGGUCUGAGAGGAUGAUCAGCCACACUGGGACUGAGACACGGCCCAGACUCCUACGGGAGGCAGCAGUGGGGAAUUUUGGACAAUGGGCGCAAGCCUGAUCCAGCCAUUCCGCGUGCAGGAUGAAGGCCUUCGGGUUGUAAACUGCUUUUGUACAGAACGAAAAGGCUCUGGUUAAUACCCGGGGCUCAUGACGGUACUGUAAGAAUAAGCACCGGCUAACUACGUGCCAGCCGCCGCGGUAA